CCCUUAGAUGUUCUGGGCUGCACCCGUGCUACACUGGCAGGUUCAGCGAGCUUCAUGCCCUGAUCUGAAAGGAAUGGGAAAUCUUUUCAAAACCUGCCGUGCUUGGGAUAGAUGUUUGCAAUUAUUCAUCUUCAACGAGGAUUGCCUUGUAAGCGCACGUCAUCAGCGUACAUUGAAUACGACCCUGUAUUCUGUACACACCGCCCGUCGCUCCUACCGAUUGAAGUUUUCGGUGAGUUGACAGGAGGAUUUUUUUGAAACUGGUUCGCCAGUGGAUUUUAGAUCCAAAUGCCAACGAAUCGAUGGCUUUAGAGGAAGGAGAAGUCGUAACA
rnacentral:rRNA from 1 species